AACGAACGCUGGCGGCAUGCCUAACACAUGCGAGUCGAACGAGACCUUCGGGUCUAGUGGCGCACGGGUGCGUAACGCGUGGGAACCUGCCCUUAGGUUCGGAAUAACUCCCCGAAAGGGGUGCUAAUACGGGAUAAUGUUUUCGGACAAAAGAUUUAUCGCCUUUGGAUGGGCCCGCGUUGGAUUAGCUAGUUGGUAGGGUAAAAGCCUACCAAGGCGACGAUCCAUAGCUGGUCUGAGAGGAUGAUCAGCCACACUGGGACUGAGACACGGCCCAGACUCCUACGGGAGGCAGCAGUGGGGAAUAUUGGACAAUGGGCGAAAGCCUGAUCCAGCAAUGCCGCGUGAGUGAUGAAGGCCUUAGGGUUGUAAAGCUCUUUUACCCGGGAUGAUAAUGACAGUACCGGGAGAAUAAGCGCCGGCUAACUCCGUG
rnacentral:rRNA from 1 species